CUCCCUAAGCGCUGACGGCUCUCCCCCCCUCCCGCGAGCUUCCCACCUAGCUGUCUGUCAAGGUCGCCGUAAAGCUACCUAGUCCAUAUGGCGAUAGACAAAAACGAAACGCUUAUAUAUAGAUUAUCCACCGGGGUGAAGAUGGAGUGAAAAGCAUGUGAGAGAGAAGUCGAAAAGAGACGUACAGGCGUAGGGGGCUAAGGGUGUAGCAUAAAAAAUUAGAUUUCUCGGCCUUAUGGAGCCAGUGGACUAGGCACUGCGGCGACUGUCGAGCUUCAAAACAGCCUUGGAAGUAGUGGAAAAAGGCAAAGAGAAGGAAUAUCAGAGUGAACCUGGCAAUUGAGCACACAAUCAAGAAACACCUGCUGGAAAACUCAGUCUCUAAAACAAAAGUAUUUUUAUAUAUUUAAAAGGAAAUAUUAAUAACAUAAUAUGCUUUUCAUUCUCUUUGCAAAACGUCUCUCACUCUGUCUGGCGCAUGGACUCAUUGCCCUUUCAUCAUUUUGUUCUCGAGUCAUUUGCUGUGAAGGUCAUUGGGAUAAAUCAUCACCAGCACCAAGAAUAUCAUUCUAUCUUAAAACUUAUGAAGAGGAGACCACAGCAUAACUAAGCGCCAGGGAUAAAGGAGGGGACACGGGUUCGAGCCCUGAUCUGGGAAGAUCCCACAUGCCACGGAGCAACUAGGCCUGUGAGCCACAACUACUGAGCCUGCACGUCUGGAGCCUGUGCUCCGCAACAAGAGAGGCCGCGAUAGUGAGAGGCCCGCGCACCGCGAUGAAGAGUGGCCCCCGCUUGCCACAACUAGAGAAAGCCAUUGCACAGAAACGAAGACCCAACACAGCCAAAAAAAUAAAUAAAUAAACAAAUGUGGGGUUUUAAAAAAAAAGAAUUUAAAAUUAAUCAAUACAAUCAUAAAUAGCAUGUAGAUCAAAUAA